rnacentral:rRNA from 1 species
AUUGAACGCUGGCGGCAGGCCUAACACAUGCCAGUCGAACGGUAACAGGAAACAGCUUGCUGUUUCGCUGACGAGUGGCGGACGGGUGAGUAAUGUCUGGGAAACUGCCUGAUGGAGGGGGAUAACUACUGGAAACGGUAGCUAAUACCGCAUAACGUCGCAAGACCAAAGAGGGGGACCUUCGGGCCUCUUGCCAUCGGAUGUGCCCAGAUGGGAUUAGCUAGUAGGUGGGGUAACGGCUCACCUAGGCGACGAUCCCUAGCUGGUCUGAGAGGAUGACCAGCCACACUGGAACUGAGACACGGUCCAGACUCCUACGGGAGGCAGCAGUGGGGAAUAUUGUACAAUGGGCGCAAGCCUGAUGCAGCCAUGCCGCGUGUAUGAAGAAGGCCUUCGGGUUGUAAAGUACUUUCAGCGGGGAGGAAGGGAGUAAAGUUAAUACCUUUACUCAUUGACGUUACCCGCAGAAGAAGCACCGGCUAACUCCGUG